rnacentral:lncRNA from 1 species
AUAAUAUAAAUGCAAGCCAGUAUCCAGAACAGAAAUCCAUCUCACAUCUAUAUACUAAACGGCACCUCGCGGGAAUUCUACAUCCGCGGAAAGCCAUACCGCACCUCGCGGGAUCUUACUAUGCCCGGCGGCAAGCAGAAUAUAAGUCGUAGGACUGGCCAAUCCUACGCCUAGGGCCGUGUCCCCCCCUAGGAAGGGACUAGGCUCCGCCCACCCAGAAGGCUACUAUGUGCACAAAGGCCGAUGUUCAACCCCAUCGACUAUAGGUGUCCUGCAGAUACUGUCAAGCCAUGCAUGAAUGCCAUAAUACACCCUCCCAAUACUCUACUAAAAAGGAGCAUAAUUAAGACUACCACUCACUCGACUCCGACCCAAUCAUAAACUAACAUCAGGGUUGGGAGUGAGGGGUCAAGGGUGUGCAAUGCAACUCAAUAUACCACU